UCCCUCUUAGCUCAGUGGUAGAGCGCGUCACUAGUACACAUAAAGUGUAUGACGAGGUCAGUCGUUCAAGUCGGCUAGAGGGAA
rnacentral:tRNA from 1 species